rnacentral:rRNA from 2 species
CGCAAUCAUGAGAGUUUGAUCCUAGCUCAGGAUGAACGCUAGCUGUGUGCUUAAUACAUGCAUGUUGAACGGGAUAGUAUUUUAGUUUUACUAAAGUAUUGUUUUAGUAGCAAAUGGGUGAGUAACACGUACCUAACCUACCUUUUGGACUGGGAUAACCAUUGGAAACAGUGGCUAAUACCGGAUAUAAUAAAAAUUCACAUGAAUUUUUAUGAAAAGGAGCGAAAAUAAGCUCCACCAAAAAAUGGGGGUGCGCAACAUUAGUUAGUUGGUAGGGUAAAGGCCUACCAAGACGAUGAUGUUUAGCGGGGCCAAGAGGUUGUACCGCCACACUGGGAUUGAGAUACGGCCCAGACUCCUACGGGAGGCAGCAGUAAGGAAUAUUCCACAAUGAGCGAAAGCUUGAUGGAGCGACACAGCGUGCAGGAUGAAGUCUUUAGGUAUGUAAACUGCUGUUGUAAGGGAAGAAAAAAAUUAGGUAGGGAAUGAUCUAAUCUUGACGGUACCUUACUAGAAAGCGACGGCAAACUAUGUGCCAGCAGCCGCGGUAAUACAUAGGUCGCAAGCGUUAUCCGGAAUUAUUGGGCGUAAAGCGUUCGUAGGUUUUUUGUUAAGUUUAAGGUUAAAUGCUAAAGCUCAACUUUAGUCCGCUUUAGAUACUGGCAAAAUAGAAUUAUGAAGAGGUUAGCGGAAUUCCUAGUGGAGUGGUGGAAUACGUAGAUAUUAGGAAGAACACCAAUAGGCGAAGGCAGCUAACUGGUCAUAUAUUGACACUGAGGGACGAAAGCGUGGGGAGCAAACAGGAUUAGAUACCCUGGUAGUCCACGCCGUAAACGAUGAUCAUUAGUUGGUGGCAGAAGUCACUAGCGCAGCUAACGCGUUAAAUGAUCCGCCUGAGUAGUAUGCUCGCAAGAGUGAAACUUAAAGGAAUUGACGGGAACCCGCACAAGCGGUGGAGCAUGUGGUUUAAUUUGAGGAUACGCGUAGAACCUUACCCACUCUUGACAUUCUCGCAAAACUAUAGAGAUAUAGCGGAGGCUAACGAGAUUACAGAUGGUGCAUGGUUGUCGUCAGCUCGUGUCGUGAGAUGUUAGGUUAAGUCCUGCAACGAGCGCAACCCUUUUCUUUAGUUGCUAACAUUAAGUUGAGAACCCUAGAGAUACUGCCGGUGUAAACCGGAGGAAGGUGGGGAUGACGUCAAAUCAUCAUGCCUCUUACGAGUGGGGCAACACACGUGCUACAAUGGCUACUACAAAGAGCAGCAAAACAGUGAUGUCAAGCUAAUCUCAAAAAAGUAGUCUCAGUUCGGAUUGAAGUCUGCAACUCGACUUCAUGAAGUCGGAAUCGCUAGUAAUCGCAGGUCAGCUAUACUGCGGUGAAUACGUUCUCGGGUUUUGUACACACCGCCCGUCACACCAUGGGAGUUGGUAAUGCCCAAAGUCGGUGAGUUAACCUCGGAGACCAUUGCCUAAGGCAGGACCGAUGACUGGGGUGAAGUCGUAACAAGGUAUCCCUACGAGAACGUGGGGAUGGAACACCUC